AAUAAGAUGGCUGAGUGUUAAGCGGUGGAUUGUAGCCCCAUGAAUGAGGGUUUAACUCCCUCUCUUAUAA
rnacentral:tRNA from 1 species